rnacentral:tRNA from 1 species
GGAGGGGUGGCUGAGAGGCUGAAGGCAACUUGCCGAAAUGGCAGGUAUGAGGAUUACCGCAUCGAAGGUUAGAAUCCUUCCCCCUCCGCCA